rnacentral:rRNA from 1 species
UACGUAGGGUGCGAGCGUUAAUCGGAAUUACUGGGCGUAAAGCGUGCGCAGGCGGUUAUUUAAGUCAGGGGUGAAAGCCCUGGGCUUAACCUAGGAAUUGCGCUUGAGACUGGAUAGCUUGGAGUGCGGCAGAGGGAGGUGGAAUUCCACGUGUAGCAGUGAAAUGCGUAGAGAUCGUAAGGAAGACCAAUGGCGAAGGCAAGUCUCUGGACAGUUACUGACGCUGAGGCACGAAGGCCAGGGGAGCAAACGGG